rnacentral:lncRNA from 1 species
UUCCAACAAGUUUAAGCAGUAUUCUGCAGUGCUGUUUUCAAUUUAAGCUUUUUAGUUUUGAGAUCUUUAGAUCCGAGUUUGUUUUUUAAGAGACUUCCUAAGGAAGGAUCUUUAGAAACAGAGGUAUUUUUUUUUCCAUUUUGCCACAAGCCUUAGUUUCCCCCAUUCUAUAGCUCCUCAUCUUUCUCUAGAUGUCUCUAGAGAUGGAGAGAUGACAAAAUGCUCCCUGAUUAGGGGGACUUUUGUCAGAGAAUGUAGGAAUUCCCAUUAAGGCAUCCCUGAGAGAAUUCUGCUCGUGUUGAGCUCCAACGACUCAAAUCUUCCCAGGUAUUUGAGUGUUCUAAUUAUAGAAUAGACAACAAGAAAAGGCUUUACCUCAUUGAGAUUCUUGGGGAUUUCUGGUCAGGGAACCAAAAUUAUGAAGUGCAAAUGAUGAGGAUAAUGAUAGUGAAGAGGUGCAAGAAUUGGGGUGGGGAAUCCCUUCUGGUCAGCACAGAUCCAAUGCAAAAGAGUUUGCAAACCCGAAAAUCUGUAUAGCAAAAAAGGGAAUUUUAUGGUUCACUAAGAAGGAAGCUCUCUUAGUGGGCAAAACUCCUCAUUAGGAAUUUGGCAAAGGUGUGUUAACAGAGACCCCUGGUUAUAUAGGCAAAUGUUAGCCGGGAUUGGAGCUGUCUGAGCUAAUCAAUAGAGGACCAUCAGAGAUCUCCAAUUAAAUAAAAUCACUUAACUGGGAGUUUGAAAGCUUUUCCCAGAGUCUGGGAACUCCCUGGAGGGGCUCUGGGUCACCCCCAAAAGAUCUGUUUCAAUGGAGGGUGAUUUGACCAUGAUCUCCAAUUGAAUAAAUUAACUUGGGAAGGACUUGUCUGGGAAAGUAGCCUCAAAGUCGGUUCACUGAGAUCAGUGAGGAAAAAGAAGACUGACUCCCAUCAGACAAAACACAGCAUCCUCAAGAAAGUUGAAAUCACAGGAGUCUCUCUUUGCAUGGAAAAAGAAUGUGCUCAAAGAGAAGCCAACCCAGAACUUGAGAAGAUCAGUGAUGGGGAGUUCUUAAACUCAACAAAUAGGGUCUUAAAACUGAUCAGAGACCAACUAUCCUGGGAAUGGAUUCUUCCAGCUUUGGGAUUUGCUCAUGAGAAAAAUAUGUGAAAGAAAAUAUUUAGAGAUGGGGCUAUAAAGGUAUGUUGAAAUGGGUAGAACGACUGAAUCAAGUUAUAAUUAUUCAAAAGACAAUGGGGUAGAUUAUUCUUAAUUCAAGAUUUCUCAAGUUCAACAGUUCCUAUAAAAUCUUCAGAGGAAGAAUAGUUUCUUGACUGCUUGCAAUUUGGAGAAGGAAGACAUAGCCACAGCAUGAUGAGGCAGGGAAUUGGGACCUUGUCAACCUUCCCCAAUAUUGCUCUGAGUUGUUUAGAUGGUACAGAGCUCAGGU